UUGGUGGAGACAGCAAGGGUGG
rnacentral:miRNA from 1 species